rnacentral:rRNA from 1 species
GACGAACGCUGGCGGCGCGCUUAACACAUGCAAGUCGAGCGAAGCGGCGGACGGGUGAGUAACACGUGAGUAACCUGCCUUAGACAUUGGGAUAGCCUCGGGAAACCGGGAUUAAUACCAAAUGGUCUAAGAUGGACUCGCGUCCCAUUAGCUAGUGGGUGAGGUAACGGCCCACCAAGGCGACGAUGGGUAGCCGGCCCGUGAGGGAGAACGGAGACAUUGGAGCGGAGAAGCGGUCCAAACUCUACGGGAUGCAGCAGUGGGGAAUAUUGCACAAGGGAGGGAACUCUGAUGCAGCGACGCCGCGUGAACGAAGAAGGCGUUCGAGUCGUAAAGUUCUUUUAUAUGGGAAGCGGUACCAGAAGAAAAAGCCCCGGCUAACUACGUGCCAGCAGCCGCGGUAAUAC